rnacentral:rRNA from 1 species
GACGAACGCUGGCGGCGUGCUUAACACAUGCAAGUCGAACGCUGAAGCCCUUCGGGGUGGAUGAGUGGCGAACGGGUGAGUAACACGUGGGUAAUCUGCCCUGCACCCUGGGAUAAGCCUUGGAAACGGGGUCUAAUACCGGAUAGGACACAUCGCCGCAUGGUGUGUGUGUGGAAAGUUCCGGCGGUGCAGGUUGAGCCCGCUGCCUAUCAGCUUGUUGGUGGGGUGUUGGCCUACCAAGGCGCCGACGGGUAGCCGGCCUGAGAGGGGGACCGGCCACACUGGGACUGAGACACGGCCCAGACUCCUACGGGAGGCAGCAGUGGGGAAUCGUGCGCAAUGGGCGAAAGCCUGACGCAGCAACGCCGCGUGGGGGAUGACGGCCUUCGGGUUGUAAACCUCUUUCGACCGGGACGAAGGAUUCGUUUGACGGUACCGGUAGAAGAAGCACCGGCUAACUACGUGCCAGCCGCCGCCGUAAGAC